UGGUUCUGGCAUCGAUGAAGAACGCAGCGAAAUGCGAUACGUAGUGUGAAUUACAGAAUUCAGUGAAUCAUCGAAUCUUUGAACGCACAUUGCGCCCUUUGGUAUUCCAAAGGGCAUGCCUGUUCGAGCGUCAUUUGUACCCUCAAGCUUUGCUUGGUGUUGGGCGUUUUUGUCUUUGGCCCGCCAAAGACUCGCCUUAAAAUGAUUGGCAGCCGGCCUACUGGUUUCGCAGCGCAGCACAUUUUUGCGCUUGCAAUCAGCAAAAGAGGACGGCAAUCCAUCAAGACUCCUUCUCACGUUUGACCUCGGAUCAGGUAGGGAUACCCGCUGA
rnacentral:misc_RNA from 1 species